rnacentral:tRNA from 1 species
AGGCCAGUAGCUCCAAUUGGUAGAGCAUCGGACUCCAAAUCCGACGGUUGUAGGUUCGAGUCCUACCUGGCCUGCCA